UUCCUUUGAGUUUCAGCCUUGCGACCAUACUCCCCAGGCGGAGCACUUAACACUUUCGCUUCGGUCGGAAACCUAUGGAGGAGCCUCCAACCUAGUGCUCAUCGUUUACAGCUAGGACUACCGGGGUAUCUAAUCCCGUUCGCUACCCUAGCUUUCGUGCCUCAGCGUCAGAAAAGACCCAGUGAGCCGCUUUCGCCACAGGUGUUCCUAAUGAUAUCGACGCAUUUCACCGCUCCACCAUUAGCUCCGCUCACCUCUAUCUUCCUCUAGCUUGGCAGUUUUGAGCGCAGUUCCUCGGUUGAGCCGAGGGACUUCACACCCAACUUGCCAAGCCGCCUACGCACCCUUUAAGCCCAGUGAUUCCGGGUAACGUUUGGACGGUUCGUCUUACCGCGGCUGCUGGCACGAACUUAGCCCGUCCUUCCUCUGAAGAUAGGUCAACUAUGGGGGAGAACCCCCAUAGAUUUCCUCCCAACUGACAGCGGUUUACAACCCGAAAGCCUUCAUCCCGCACGCGGCGUCGCUCCGUCAGGCUCUCGCCCAUUGUGGA
rnacentral:rRNA from 1 species